AGGGUUUGAUCAUGGCUCAGAACGUACGCUGGCGGCACGCCUAACACAUGCAAGUCGAACGAAGUAGCAAUACUUAGUGGCAGACGGGUGAGUAACAUGUAGGUAUCUGCCCUUUGGCCUGGAAUAACACGAGGAAACUUGUGCUAAUACCGGAUAAGUCUUUACGGAGAAAGCUUUAUGCACCAUUGGAUGAGCCUGCACUUGAUUAGUUUGUUGGUGGGGUAAUGGCCUACCAAGACUUUGAUCAAUAGCUGAUUUGAGAGGAUGAUCAGCCACAUUGGGACUGAGACACGGCCCAAACUCCUACGGGAGGCAGCAGUGGGGAAUCUUGCACAAUGGAGGAAACUCUGAUGCAGCGAUGCCGCGUGUGUGAAGAAGGCCUUCGGGUUGUAAAGCACUUUAAGCAGGGAGAAAAAGUUAUAAGUUAAUACCUUAUAACCGUGAUGUUACCUGCAGAAUAAGCACCGGCUAAUUCCGUGCCAGCAGCCGCGGUAAUACGGAAGGUGCAAGCGUUAAUCGGAAUUACUGGGCGUAAAGCGCGCGUAGGUGGUUUGUUAAGUUGGAUGUGAAAGCCCUGGGCUCAACCUAGGAACUGCAUCCAAAACUAACUCACUAGAGUACGAUAGAGGGAGGUAGAAUUCAUAGUGUAGCGGUGGAAUGCGUAGAUAUUAUGAAGAAUACCGGUGGCGAAGGCGGCCUCCUGGAUCUGUACUGACACUGAGGUGCGAAAGCGUGGGUAGCGAACAGGAUUAGAUACCCUGGUAGUCCACGCC
rnacentral:rRNA from 1 species